GUCCCUUUGUGGACAUCCAAUAAAAUUGGAACAAUACAGAGAAGAUUAGCAUGACCCUGUGCAAGGAUGACACGCACAAAUCGAAAUGUCAACAAUAUUCUA